rnacentral:rRNA from 1 species
UACGUAGGGCGCAAGCGUUGUCCGGAAUUAUUGGGCGUAAAGAGCUCGUAGGCGGCCUGUUGCGUCCGCUGUGAAAACCCGGGGCUUAACCCCGGGCUUGCAGUGGAUACGGGCAGGCUGGAGGCAGGCAGGGGAGAACGGAAUUCCCGGUGUAGCGGUGAAAUGCGCAGAUAUCAGGAGGAACACCGGUGGCGAAGACGGGUCUCUGGGCCGUAACUGACGCUGAGGAGCGAAAGCGUGGGUAGCAAACAGG